rnacentral:rRNA from 1 species
GGACGAACGCUGGCGGCGUGCCUAACACAUGCAAGUCGAGCGGAGGUAUUCAAGGAGCAAUCUGCGGAUACUUUAGCGGCGGACGGGUGAGUAACGCGUGAGCAACCUGCCUUUCACAGGGGGAUAAGGCGGCGAAAGCCGCUCUAAUACCGCAUGAGACCCCGGUGGUGAUACCACAGCGGUCAAAGGAGCAAUCCGGUGAGAGAUGGGCUCGCGUCCGAUUAGGUAGUUGGUGAGGUAAAGGCUCACCAAGCCAAUGAUCGGUAGCCGGCCUGAGAGGGUGAACGGCCACAUUGGAACUGAGAGACGGUCCAAACUCCUACGGGAGGCAGCAGUGGGGAAUAUUGGGCAAUGGGGGAAACCCUGACCCAGCAACGCCGCGUGAGGGAAGAAGGUUUUCGGAUUGUAAACCUCUGUUCUUGGGGAAGAGCAGAAGACGGUACCCAAGGAGGAAGCCCCGGCUAACUACGUGCCAGCAGCCGCGGUAAUACGUAGGGGGCGAGCGUUGUCCGGAAUGAUUGGGCGUAAAGGGCGCGUAGGCGGCUGUGUAAGUCAGUAGUGGAAGUCCAGCUUUUAAGGUUGGAAGUGCUAUUGAAACUGUGCAGCUUGAGUGCAGGAGAGGUUAUCGGAAUUCCCGGUGUAGCGGUGAAAUGCGUAGAGAUCGGGAGGAACACCAGUGGCGAAGGCGGGUAACUGGACUGCAACUGACGCUGAGGCGCGAAAGUGUGGGGAGCAAACAGGAUUAGAUACCCUGGUAGUCCACACUGUAAACGAUGAAUGCUAGGUGUAGGGGGUAUCGACCCCUUCUGUGCCGGAGUAAACACAAUAAGCAUUCCGCCUGGGGAGUACGGUCGCAAGAUUAAAACUCAAAGGAAUUGACGGGGGCCCACACAAGCAGCGGAGCAUGUGGUUUAAUUCGAAGCAACGCGAAGAACCUUACCAGGUCUUGACAUCCAGGUAAAGCUGCAGAGAUGCAGUGUGUGCUUGCACAAUCUGAGACAGGUGGUGCAUGGUUGUCGUCAGCUCGUGUCGUGAGAUGUUGGGUUAAGUCCGCUAACGAGCGCAACCCCUGCCAUAUGUUACAUGUGUCAUAUGGGACUGCCGGUCUCAAACCGGAGGAAGGUGGGGAUGACGUCAAGUCAGCAUGGCCUUUAUAUCCUGGGCUACACACACGCUACAAUGGCCGGUACAAUAGGUUGCUAAAUCGCGAGAUGGAGCCAAUCCCCAAAACCGGCCUCAGUUCAGAUUGUAGGCUGCAACCCGCCUGCAUGAAGCCGGAGUUGCUAGUAACCGCAGGUCAGCCAUACUGCGGUGAAUACGUUCCCGGGGCU